CACAGGUAUAAUUUAAUGCUUUUGAACUGCAUCCCUCAUUCUGCUUUGAGCUGCAAGAUUUCAUCCUCGGUGGCGAGUAGGUUGGUCGCUGACUUCCUCUUUGUUUCUUCCAGCUCCCUCUGAACAUCCAUGAGCCUGUGACCGAGUCCAGCUGGAGGCGAGUGGAGAUCAGCUGAACCUCCAUCUUCUUCAUGUCGCUCUCAUGGGAGCAAGAGAGCUCCCUGAUCUGUCUGUCCUUCUCUGCUGAAUCCUGCAUAUGCAAACACAUCACCCCAAUUAACAGAGGGAUGAUUGUAUUAUUAAACUGGAUGAAAGCAGCGUAAAUGAUGACUGGGGACCUGGAUGAGCUGCAUGCUGAUGUCUUCAGUGACAGAGGGCCUCGAAAUGAAAAAAACUGUUUCCAAGCCAAGGAAGAAGACGUGUUUUAGGAAUGUCAACUCCAGCAUACUGACCACCUGA